UCCGACAUGGUGUAGCGGUAACAUAGGUGCCUUUCAGCGUCGAACUCGAGCGCACUUGCCCGGGGUUCGACUCCCCGUAUCGGAA